rnacentral:rRNA from 1 species
GUGGGGAAUUUUGGACAAUGGGCGCAAGCCUGAUCCAGCAAUGCCGCGUGCAGGAAGAAGGCCUUCGGGUUGUAAACUGCUUUUGUACGGAACGAAACGGUCCUGGUUAAUACCUGGGGCUAAUGACGGUACCGUAAGAAUAAGCACCGGCUAACUACGUGCCAGCAGCCGCGGUAAUACGUAGGGUGCAAGCGUUAAUCGGAAUUACUGGGCGUAAAGCGUGCGCAGGCGGUGCUGUAAGACAGGCGUGAAAUCCCCGGGCUCAACCUGGGAAUUGCGCUUGUGACUGCAGUGCUGGAGUGCGGCAGAGGGGGAUGGAAUUCCGCGUGUAGCAGUGAAAUGCGUAGAUAUGCGGAGGAACACCGAUGGCGAAGGCAAUCCCCUGGGCCUGCACUGACGCUCAUGCACGAAAGCGUGGGGAGCAAACAGGAUUAGAAACCCCUGUAGUCC